rnacentral:rRNA from 1 species
UACGUAGGGUGCAAGCGUUGCCCGGAUUUAUUGGGCGUAAAGGGCGCGUAGGCGGCUCUGCACGUUCGUUGUGAAAUCGCCCGGCUCAACUGGGCGGGGUCAGCGGAUACGGCAGAGCUUGAGCAAGCUAGGGGGCAAUGGAAUUCCCGGUGUAGUGGUGGAAUGCGUAGAUAUCGGGAGGAACACCAGUGGCGAAGGCGACUACCUGGCCUGUUCUUGACGCUGAGGCGCGAAAGCAUGGGGAGCAAACAGGG